rnacentral:rRNA from 1 species
GCCCCUUCGGGGGCAAGUAAAGCGGCAGACGGGUGAGUAAUACGUGAAUAAUCUGCCUUUUGGACUGGGACAACUUCGGGAAACUGGAGCUAAUACCAGAUAAGACCACGAAUUCUCAGGUUUUUGUGGUAAAAGGUGGCCAGCUUGCUGGCUAUCACCAGAAGAUGAGUUCACGCCCCAUCAGGUUGUUGGUAAGGUAAAGGCUUACCAAGCCUAAGACGGGUAGCUGGCCUAAGAGGGCGGCCAGCCACACGGGGACUGAGACACGGCCCCGACUCCUACGGGAGGCAGCAGUGAGGAAUAUUGGGCAAUGGGCGCAAGCCUGACCCAGCGACGUCGCGUGGGGGAUGAAGGCCUUCGGGUCGUAAACCCUUGUCAUAGGGGAAGAUGGGUACAUGUGCUAAUACCACAUGUACUUGACGGUACCUUAAGAGGAAGCCCCGGCUAACUCCGUGCCAGCAGCCGCGGUAAUACGGAGGGGGCAAGCGUUGCUCGGAAUUACUGGGCGUAAAGGGUCCGCAGGUGGUUUCGAAAGUUAGAUGUGAAAGCUCA